UACGGGGGGGGCAAGCGUUGUUCGGAAUUACUGGGCGUAAAGAGCUCGUAGGCGGUCUGUCGCGUCGGUCGUGAAAACUUGGGGCUUAACCCUGAGCUUGCGGUCGAUACGGGCAUGACUGGAGUUCGGCAGGGGAGACUGGAAUUCCUGGUGUAGCGGUGAAAUGCGCAGAUAUCAGGAGGAACACCGGUGGCGAAGGCGGGUCUCUGGGCCGAUACUGACGCUGAGGAGCGAAAGCGUGGGGAGCGAACAGG
rnacentral:rRNA from 1 species